rnacentral:rRNA from 1 species
AUCUACGGCCAUACCACCCUGAACGUGCCUGAUCUUGUCUGAUCUUGGAAACUAAGCAGGGUUGGGCCCAGUUAGUACUUGAAUGGGAGACAGCCUGGGAAUACCGGGUGCUGUAGGCU